rnacentral:rRNA from 1 species
UACGGAGGGUGCAAGCGGUGUUCGGAAUUACUGGGCGUAAAGGGCGCGUAGGCGGUGUGGUAAGUCAGAUGUGAAAGCCCUGGGCUUAACCCAGGAAGUGCAUUUGAAACUACCAUGCUUGAGUAUGGGAGAGGAGAGUGGAAUUCCCAGUGUAGAGGUGAAAUUCGUAGAUAUUGGGAGGAACACCCGUGGCGAAGGCGACUCUCUGGACCAAUACUGACGCUGAGGCGCGAAAGCGUGGGGAGCAAACAGG